AGUGAACGCUGGCGGUAGGCCUAACACAUGCAAGUCGAACGGCAGCACAGUAAGAGCUUGCUCUUACGGGUGGCGAGUGGCGGGCGGGUGAGGAAUACAUCGGAAUCUACUUUUUCGUGGGGGAUAACGUAGGGAAACUUACGCUAAUACCGCAUACGACCUACGGGUGAAAGCAGGGGAUCUUCUGACCUUGCGCGAUUGAAUGAGCCGAUGUCGGAUUAGCUAGUUGGCGGGGUAAAGGCCCACCAAGGCGACGAUCCGUAGCUGGUCUGAGAGGAUGAUCAGCCACACUGGAACUGAGACACGGUCCAGACUCCUACGGGAGGCAGCAGUGGGGAAUAUUGGACAAUGGGCGCAAGCCUGAUCCAGCAAUACCGCGUGGGUGAAGAAGGCCUUCGGGUUGUAAAGCCAUUUUGUUGGGAAAGAAAAGCAGCAGGUUAAUACCCCGCUGUUCUGACGGUACCCAAAGAAUAAGCACCGGCUAACUUCGUG
rnacentral:rRNA from 1 species